UUACUUUUCUGAACAAAAAAACAAUUUCCUUUUUCCGAGAGAACAUCGGUUCCUCGUAGACGACCUAGGAACAUGUUUGUCAUUUUAUUUCUAAUGUUCACGGAAUCAAGGAGGUACCUUUUGCUUUAUCAUCUACCAUAGACGACCAUGGUUCUGUACAAGUUGAUGCGUCAAUUUGAUUGCUUAUCAAGUUUCUGGUUUACGACAUCUUGAUGUGUUCGACAUAAUACCUCGUUUGUUUCCGAAUCAAUUUUGGUCAGGAGAGCUCACUGGUGUUGGAGAAUAUGGGAAUUCUUCUUCCCCCCAAAUCCCCAAUGCUUUUGGUUCCCGCUUCCCUUCCCGCAACAAUCAUCCCUUUCAGUAAUUCACCACCGUCCUCCUUUCCCUAUUAGACGUCAGUGCCUUAUCACUCCAGUUCUUCUUGUGGUUGGUUUCUGCAGGUAAUUUCGCGUUCUCGCAUUUAAGAGACUCAUUGUUCAUGUCACUUUCAGAAUUUCUUAUUCUGGUGUCAAGAAUCUAGAUAAUACAUAAAGAAAAAUUGGAUAUGGUAUUGUUCUUUUAUUUAUUUUAUUUUUUUCAGUUUUGUAGUUUUGUUAUACUUGUCAAUAAGAUUUUGAAACUGGUCUGUUGUUACUUGCAAGUACUUUGAGUAACUCAAAAAGUCAAGUUUUGGAAGCUGAGUUGUAGCAAAUUGAAUUUUAAUUUUGUGCUAACCAGCUUUGAUUUCGUGAAUAGAGCACACCAUGAACUUAUGCUUAUAAUCAUGUAUUCUUCUAGAUGUAUCCAUUCAUAUAUAAACAAAUGGAAUUUUGAAAAAAAAAAGAGCAGAUGAAUGACAAUCAUUCUUGGAUGAAAUAUGAAUUCACAACAAUUUUGGCUGAAUAAUCUUUCUAGUCAUAUGAACUUGUACUAUCUCCAUUCCAAACAAACACAAACAAAUAAAAUUGGAAUUUCUCUAUUGAUCCAUGGUAUCUUUUGUUGUUUCAUUUAAUUUCUUCAUAAACUUUAUCUAGUCAUCUUGGUUAAAACCCACUUAGCGCAUAAUUAUAUUUUUACAAACAUCCUCUAUGUUGUAUUUGUGUGCGUGUUUCAAGUUUAACAGGAUGAGAUGUUUGAAAUUCAGAAAGAGAUGUAGAAGGGCCAACAAUAUAGUCAAAUAUACUAUAUAAGGUUACACUUGAUCAUAACUCUCAUUUACUCUCUCCUUCCAAACCGGAAACCUCACUUGCCUGUUUGGGGCUAGAAAAAUGCAAAGAGUGCAUUGUUGAUGGAACAAUUUGUAAGGGUUCUAAUGGGUUAUACGAUGACCCGUUCCUGCUUAUUUUCUUGGGGGACCAGCUGCAAAGAAAUGAUAUAUAUUUUGACCUGCUCCUCCACCAUUUGCUAUUCUACAAUUGGGUGGGUUUUGGAUGCUGUUGGGGAGAUGGUUUGGGAUCAGUAGAAUUUUUUUUAUCUAUUGUAAUUUUUCUGUAAAAGAAUUUUUUUAGAUGUAUUUCAUUUAAUAUUGGGAUGUUAUCAUUACCAAAUUCAAUGGAUGAGAUUGUAAGACAAUUGCUUUUGUGAUAUUAAAGAGCCAUCAACUGUUGGAUAACCAAAAAUAAAUUUUGAGUGUUAUGUUGCAAUUUAGCUAAAUUGUCAUCCAAGAUUUGUGGUUAGUUUGGUCAAAUACUUAAAAAAUUCCAUUAUUGGUUUAUUACCAAAUUUAUAUCCAUGGGUUCCAGGAUACAUAUCAAUCAUGACAAAAGCA